AAUUCGCCCUUAKAGUUGGAUCCUGGCUCAKAUUGAACGCUGGCGGCAGGCUUAACACAUGCAAGUCGAGCGGGGAAGGGUAGCUUGCUACCUGACCUAGCGGCGGACGGGUGAGUAAUGCUUAGGAAUCUGCCUAUUAGUGGGGGACAACAUUCCGAAAGGAAUGCUAAUACCGCAUACGCCCUACGGGGGAAAGCAGGGGAUCUUCGGACCUUGCGCUAAUAGAUGAGCCUAAGUCAGAUUAGCUAGUUGGUGGGGUAAAGGCCUACCAAGGCGACGAUCUGUAGCGGGUCUGAGAGGAUGAUCCGCCACACUGGGACUGAGACACGGCCCAGACUCCUACGGGAGGCAGCAGUGGGGAAUAUUGGACAAUGGGCGAGAGCCUGAUCCAGCCAUGCCGCGUGUGUGAAGAAGGCCUUUUGGUUGUAAAGCACUUUAAGCGAGGAGGAGGCUACUUGGAUUAAUACUCUAGGAUAGUGGACGUUACUCGCAGAAUAAGCACCGGCUAACUCUGUGCCAGCAGCCGCGGUAAUACAGAGGGUGCGAGCGUUAAUCGGAUUUACUGGGCGUAAAGCGUGCGUAGGCGGCUUUUUAAGUCGGAUGUGAAAUCCCUGAGCUUAACUUAGGAAUUGCAUUCGAUACUGGGAAGCUAGAGUAUGGGAGAGGAUGGUAGAAUUCCAGGUGUAGCGGUGAAAUGCGUAGAGAUCUGGAGGAAUACCGAUGGCGAAGGCAGCCAUCUGGCCUAAUACUGACGCUGAGGUACGAAAGCAUGGGGAGCAAACAGGAUUAGAUACCCUGGUAGUCCAUGCCGUAAACGAUGUCUACUAGCCGUUGGGGCCUUUGAGGCUUUAGUGGCGCAGCUAACGCGAUAAGUAGACCGCCUGG
rnacentral:rRNA from 1 species